rnacentral:rRNA from 1 species
AAAGUUGUUCUAGUUUUGUAACUAAAAUGGUUUGGCAGUGAGCGAUUCUUAUUAGGGGAAUAUGCAUAGUGAAGGAUGGUCCACCUAUUAGUUUACUCUUUUUAUGUUGGUGUAUGUCUGGUUUGAUAUUAUUGUUGAAUAAUUUAAGUUUGUGUAGUUUUAGUUAAGCUAAGUCUAUGUGCUGCUUAUGGGAGUUUUUGUGUGUUACAUUAAUAAGGGUGUUAUUGUAAGAUGAUGUGAUUUAGG